GUGGGAGUUGUAGUCCGCGGCGGAGAGGCGCCGGCUCGGGCGGCGCGGACUGGGAGCGGCGGGGCGCGGACGGCGUGGACCAACGGCAGCGAGCAGCAUUCACCCAGGAUGGACUGCAGGUCACGCAGGAAGUAGCCGUGCGAGACACCUCCACCCCAAACAAGACACCGGGUUGCCAUCGCUUGCCACGUUCAGAGCUGAGAAUCCGCAUCCAAGCCUGGGAUGGCUGGAGCUGUGCACAGGUAGAGUGCUCCCUUAAAGGCAUGAAUCAUCUGGGCUCUCAGUCCAUACCCAGGAGGGCCGCCCCGGGAAGGAGCCGAGAUGCCUGUGGGGUUUGUGUGGGACCUGUCCAUCUGUCCGGCUGUGCCCUGCCCCACCCAGGAACCACCGCAAGCCCCGUGCCAGUGUGAUACCAGCCUAUGCUGAGCCCACGCGGGAGCCCGCUCCACGUUGUCCCCUGUGGGCCACCACGGGGGCGGGCGUUGACCCUGGGAGUUGAGGGACAUGUAAAAGACUGCCUCCAAGGGGACAGUGCCCCUCCGAAGGUUGCUGGGGAUCAUGCAGACUCACCUCCUGCCAGCUUGCACCUCGGGAGGGCCCAGGCCAAGCCGACCCUGACUGGUAGCACCCCCCAUUCACCAUGACCCCAGGGUCCCUGGAAACAUUGACUUCCUAGUAAAUGGUUUUAGUCUCAGGCCUAGAAAAGGAUGCCAAUGUCACGUAGGAAGACGUUAGGAACGGUCUCUGCCAAGAACAGCAAGCAGCAGUGGCCACGAGUGAAGGGCCCACCUCCUCUUUCAUGCAGCAGCCCACGGCGGGCACGCACACCGCCCGCCGAGCACCAAGCAGCAGAUGACCGUGAUCCGGGACCCCAGGCACACGCGGGGCUUUCGGGACAGCCCAGGCUCAGCAAACACAAGUCGGUGUUUCGUGUCCCAUGUGCAUGUUUAUUUCUUUCAAAGACUAUUCAUGUUCCAGACACAUCUUCCACAGUUCGGUUUAAAGUGCUACCGAGGAAUACAAUCACUGUCCAGCAAAUUCAUCACCACACUUAAGCAUCAAGCCAGACCUUGCCACAUACCUUGAAAACCUUUCAUUUUCUUCUUUUUAAAAAAAUGUAGCUUUGAUGUGCUAUUGGGUGGGGGGUGGGGGGGUACCUACAAGGCCAACUUGUAAAUGGUACAUGACAGCAGUUGCAAGCUGGGUGAACUGGGCAGGUCGACGUAUUCCGGAUGCCUCCUCACAUAAAACAGGAAUGCGGAAGAGAAGGGCCCGGGGGGGACCUGAGUUUGCUUUGCACAACGUAGCGGCACCAGCGUGUCCAUGCCACGUGCUUUGGUAGUCGGGCCUGAGCAGGUAUGGGCAGGGGAGGGAGGGCCUGGCAUCGGGGUCUACACCAGUGUGAGACCUGCUUUCCACCCAGCGGACAUCAACGUUCUGACUUCCAGGCGCCACCAGCUUGUGCUCUGACGUGUCAGGACUGUGAGGCUCUUACCAGGAAAACCCCCACACCUGCUGGCAGCGAUAUAAAUUCAUGUGUCCUUUCUGCUCAAGAAGAAAACUUGCAACUCUCUUCUGAAGAGGCAGCCAGUAAAACCAAUCAGAGACGGAGACAGGCACCUAAUCUGUGACUGGUGGGCAGCAACUGGCCGCCGAGCUCUCAGGAGGAAUCAAGGGCUGGCUUUAAACUUAAACUUGAGAGUUGAUUUAAAUAAAGGACUGUCUAAACCGUCUUCUUCACAGCGGGUUUCCAACGGGACGAUGAGAUCGGUGGUUUUGUUAUUGCUACAUUAAUAACACACACACACACACACACACACUUCAAGCUCCCUUGCAUUCCUCUGCAAACACAAGUGGAUCUUUGAAUGCAGGGCACUGCCCCAGCUCACAACCAACGUGAGCAUCUGGUUCCAGACAUGCAGACACACAUUCCUAUUAGCGUUCGUGAGAAAUCACUCCAAAACACCACUUUGCAAAAAUAUCAUGAACGCAAAACAGAAACAAAAGCUCUUGUGCCCCUAAAGCAUAAGGAAAGGCAAGGGAAUAAGGUGAUUUACAGAUUGGUAUGUUUAGCAUUUGGUGUAUAAUCUUAAUUGACAUGUACCCUUCAUAACAUUUACUUUCGCAUAAAUACCUACACCAUUAAAGCACAGGCCUGGAUAAACAGCCAGGAAAGAAGCAUUCACAGUAUCAACACGGCCCAUUUUCUCAUGGUGCUAUGUUCACGCACCCUUCCGUGCUCUCUUGGGUGUCCUGUAAGUUCAGAAAAGGCCCUCAGAGGAAGAAAACGUGUGUGCGUCUUGAGGGGGGUGCUCCUGGAUCUGACUCAGAGGUACGGGGCUCUUGAUGUGUGCCCAACAGACACACGGAAACACGGAUCUCCUUAACGCUCUCCACCUCUCGUGGGACGGUCCUGCGUCCCAUGCGGGACAGACAGCCCACCUGUCGCUUGCCCGGGACCCGGAAGAGGCUUUAAGUCACCAGGAAGUUGAGAAACCAAGAAAACCCUUGGCAAAAAGAUUACACAGUGAACAAAAUGCUCAUGGGGUCAAUCAGGAAUGGGAAUGGCUAAGACAUUUUUUGUUGAGAGCAAGGAAGUGGCAACGUAAAACUGAUCCCAUCACAUUGAAUAAAUUGAGUUGAUCUGAACUUCAGAAUCAAACAAAAAACUGUGCUAAAGACUUCUGAUCUCUGCCUGAAAUUCUGACACAUAAUGUCCUCUGAGAAUUAAUUUUUGAAUGUCCCAAGUGCUGCCUACCCCGGGGCGGGGGGGGGGGGGGCAGGAAAUAAUCCUCCACUAAGACAAAACAAAGUGACCAAAUGGGUUCCAAAAAGACUAGUAGUGAUUACCAACCUGCGGAGACUAACUUGGUAUAAUGACAUGUUGGAACGCCUGGUGCUGUUUCACGAGGUAACGAAAAUCAAAAGUCCCUGUAAAAACUCAUCUUACAGUCACCUGGUAAUUCCUGGGACCCCGGGGCAUUUCUGAGUGUGUAUUUCAGAGUAAAAUUCUUCACGUAGUUUUAGAAUCUCUCCCUCAAGAAAAAGGGAAAAAAGUUCCGUAAUCUGGGUUUUCGGGAAGGUUUUUUUUUUCGGCAGUGGCUCCGUUACCCCAAAAGACGUGUUUUGGGGUCAACAAAAGCGCUUGUGAGAAGGAGCGCCCCCAAUUUCCUAUCCGUGACAGAGGUCAGGCUUCACGAUAGCCUUUUAAAUCUUAUCAGAAGAAAGCGAAUCUCACUGAACCAUCCAGACGGUUCACAGGGACGGCCACAGCCCUAACCAGCUCGUCCCUGGCAGUGGCACCUUCGGGCGGAUGGGCCAGUGGCGCGGACACACGGACAGGCGGACGGACGACCGUGGCGUGAAGGGUACACAGAGAUACGCACAUGGCGGGCCACGUUUAUCUGUUUUUUUUUUUUUCUUUCCCCCACUGGAAACCAAAACAAGGACACCCCAAAACAUGUCAAGCGCUGUUCACAGCAGAAUUCUGGAGAGCUCCCGAAAGGACUGAUGCGACGUUUGGCCCAUUUGUUAUUAAACUUCCACCCCUAAGACUCCUACCUGAGACACACAAUAGCUUUCUCUUCUGUCCUGGAAGUUCUUUGUUUCAGCCAUCGGCAGCGUUUGGCAAACCAGCCGGGGACAAAAGGAAAACCGUGUGUGGGGUGUGGCCAUGCGGUGGGUCACUUACUGCUGCUAGCCUCACUUGAGAGCCCCCCCCCACACGAUCACGAGCACUUUGACCCUACAGAGGAAAACGUAAAAACCACAUAGGAAGUGAUAGAUCUCCCACUUGCAAACAGGCUCAAAGUAAACAUCCAGGAGAGCUCAGCAAAAUGUGCGCAGGAGAGAUUUAGUGUUUGCAUACGGUUUCAAGUUAUAUGGCUAAUAUCAAAGGCAACUACCUUCUACCUUUGUCAUAGUGUCUCUGUUACCACCGUAAUUUCUCUGUGGACCCCAAAUCCUGCCUCUGUCCCACCUCUCUGUACUCAGGGCGAGCUGUACUGUGACGCUGAGCAGUCCGUGAGGACAGGUGACCCAUCCGUUCCAUUCACAGUGACAGCACAGGGGGACACCUCCUCUUUGCGACGCGGUCCAGGCGUGGACCCAAGGUACUACGUGUCCGAGUGCAGUGCGGGUAAAAUUGAGUCCCCCACAUCUGCCCCAUCACCAUUCUUUAUAGGAUGUUCUUUAGUUCAGAACGUAAAUCUCACAUUUAACUUCAGCUCUUGGACCAGAGCACAGCCCAUGUGGCAGAGCCUUCAGAUCUCCUUUGGCAUCGGGUGGCAAAUCGGACAGUUGUCUCUGGGGGGAAACCUCCUGGCCGGAGACUUGGGUUUUCAUUGCCCUUUAACCCAGCUAGCCCAGGCGGCCGUCUGACAGCUUGCAGGGACUCUCACUCCGUCCUGGUGGGCAGUUAGGUGGGCCCGCGUCUUCCCGCAUCCUGGUGCGGCAGGCUGCCGGCUGCGGGCUCCGCCGGGGCCCCGUUCAUGGUGCUCUUACUUCUGUGUCUGGAGAGUAACUUCUUGUUCAGGAUCCUGGUGAGCGUCACCCCCUUCCUCCGGGCCCCCUCCGGCUGCUGCAGGAACACGAGGUCGUUGUGCGACUGGCUCAUGCCGGGGUCUUUCUGUUGAUGUCGCCGGCGGAAGAACAGCUUUGCGCCUUUCCUUAAAAUCCCUCCUGCAAGAGGAAAGCACAGGGGGCCAGUCAGAUGGGCUGUGGACGAAACGCCGGGACCACUAGUCCAAGAGGAAAAGAAACAAGGACAUCUGAGCGACUCUAAUAAGAGCGGUUUCUUACUUUGGUGUGCGGUCACUAUAUCCACACGGGAAAAGCAGCCGGAAUCUGGCCUGGACCAAACACCAGAGUUUUCAGGAUGAAAAGACUCUGAGCCGAGAAGCAGUGAGCUGGACUGUCAGGUGCGUCCCAGGGCAGACCUCUCUCUGAGCUCCUGGUCAAGGCCGAGGGCAGUAGGCAGUCCCUCCCUCGGGUCCCCUGGCCCCCCCACCCCCAGCAAAGAUGGCCAUGCUGUGGAAACCCCAGCAGGGUCAGAGAGCCUUCCCAGCCAGCCUGGAAUUCAUCACAUCUGCGUGUCCAUGCUGAUGGCUUUGAAAGGAGAGAGUCUGCCCAUCAGGAUGAGGAGCUUUAUGGCUAUUUGGCAAUUCAUUAUUUUCACGGUCGAGCCACCAAAUACUUGAGUAGCCCUGACAGACACCAAUGACCGAAUGUUUAUUCAGGGGGGACCACGAGGAGCAUCGGCUGGUUCUUCUCCAGGAAUGCGGGCGGACAGUGGUGGAAUCGGGCCCAGCCCUGUCUGUGGACCUUUCACAAUCAGCACUGUAGAACAGCAUGCCCGCCCAUGACUUUAAGAGGCUGCUCAUUGGGCCUGGCGCCAAGGGCGGACUUCCCGUUUGCUCUGUCCAGGCUCGGCCGCAGCACGGAGCUCAAGAGCCCCAAGGCAUAGGCUGAAUGUCAUCUGAUCAAAGCUGCUGAAAAGGUCUUUUUUUUUUUUUUUCAUUUUCUCUUUGGAUACAAUCAAACAGCCUAUUAUGCAGAAUCACGAGGGUGUGUCUACACUGAUCUAACGUGGAGAGGCUGUGUGCGGGGCUUUCCAGGACAGCGGGAAGGACAGGCAGCGGAACGUGGACUCCAAACGUGUAUGGGGCUCUACCCUCUCCACAGGCCUGCUGUGCUACGUCUGGGGGCCACGAGUGUCUGUUCCUCGAGCUGUUCAAAUCCCCGUGAGAUGCAGCCUGUCACAAGGAGUCACCAGCUGGGGUGUGUUACCCCACCAGCCACCACCACCAGCUGGAUUUGACUUUGCAGUCUGGCCGGUGGGGCAGAUGCAGGGGUGCCCACUGGUUAAUCCCCCGAUCAGAUGCCCUGGGCACCGGGAGGGGCUGCACCAUGACAGGUUACCUCGGGUCGCUGGGGCCCAGGAAGUGUUUCUAAUCUACAGGAACCUGCUUUAGGCUUAGCUUGGGGUCCCUGAAGGGCAUAUAAAUGUGGACUCUCACCUGGAUCCGUUCGGUUAACCUGGAGUGCUCUAAUCCCAUGCGCCCUGUCUCUCCAUGGGGCUAGAAGCCUGAGGGGGGGCAGAGCAACCCCUCGCCACGGUGGCUGGAGGUCAGCGGGAACAGGGAAGGUCCUAGAGGACCCCUGGAAUGGGCCCCUGCACUGAAAGUUGGUCUGGGGUCUGCAGCCAGGGGCUGGGGUGUGAGCAGGGGUGGUGUUACGGGUUGGAUCAUGUCCCUCCAGAAUUCAUAUGUUGGGGUUCUGACCCCCAGGAGCUCAGAAUGGGACCUUAAUUUAUAGACAGGUCUUUAGAGAGGUGAUUCAUCGACGGUGAAUCAGGGCAGGCGCUACACCAACACAACGGUGUUCUUAUUCAAAGGACAACUGUGGACGCAGGCGUGCCCAUGGGGAGAGUGCCGGGGGGAGGGGGGCUGGAGGCAGGGAUGGGGGUCACGCUUGUGCAAGCCAAGGAAGGUCAAGGAUGCCAGCAGACACCAGAAACCUGGGGAGAGCAUGGAGCAGAGUCUCCGUCAUGGCCAGCAGGAGGCCCUUGGACUUCUGGCCUCCGGAGCUGGGAGACUGGCCAUUUCUGAGCCCGAGGCUGUGUGGAAUGGGACAGACCAGCAUCUGGCUGCUGAGAAGCAUGGGUCUGCACCAGAUUCAGAGGAGGUGGCUGUGUUCACAGUUCUCUAAAAAGGAAAUCUACACGUUUUUAAGCAGUCACUUUAACUCUUUUAAAUGAAAUUGCACUUGGGGCGCCUGGGUGGCUCCGUCAGGUAAGCAUCUGACUCCUAGUUUCGGCUCAGGUCAUGAUCUCAGGUCAUGGGAUCGAGCCCUACAUCGGGCUCUGCACUCAGCGGGGAGUCUGCUUGAGAUUCUCUCUCUCCCUCUGUCCCUCCCCCUGACUCACAUGCAUGCUCGCUCUAAUAAAAAAAAACACUUUAGGGGCGCCUGGGUGGCUCAGUCAUUAAGCAUCUGCUUUCGGCUCAGAUCAUGAUCCCAGGGUGCUGGGAUCGAGCCCCGCAUCGGGCUCCCUGCUCGGCGGGAAGCCUGCUUCUCUCUCUCCCACUCCCUCUGCUUGUGUUCCCUCGUUUGCUGUGUCUCUGUCAAAUAAAUAAAAUCUUUAAAAAAAAAAAAAAACACUUUAAAUGAAAUUGCACUUUAAAUGACUAAAACUCAAAUUCUUGCCAUAUCAAGAUGAAAUAUCAGGGACUUCCAGCCAGUGAGUAAAAUCGGGAAAGGGAAAGACCUGUGUGCCGUAUUGACUUGAAACGUUCCUGCUGGCAGCGGUCUGUCCCACAAGCUAGGGUCAGCUCCCGUGCGUCCCACGGACAGGGCCUAUAACGGGCUGUUUUCUGUGCUUCCAUCCCCACGCAGGCUCUCCGAACAGGUCUGCAGUUCUGUUAAAUCUGACUGUUCAAUAUCCAUACGAGAACCGGAUGAUGUCCUGUGUCCCCUGGUGCACGUCAUCCUAACUCACCAAGUGUGGGUGUCCCCUAACUUGACGUGACUUGUCACAGCUUCUGUGGGGACAAUAAAAUGUGAAAGGAGGGACUGAGGUUUGCAAAUCUAUAGGCUGGAGCCCUGCUUAGGUCUUAUCCCUAGCAGUGAUGCACUCCGCCCCACUAACAAGUGCCCCAGGGCAGAAAGCCUGUGUGCUCAUGCCUGGCUCCCCUCUGCACCUAAGCGAUGCUGUCUGAGCUGGCAGGGGACAGGUCCCAGCCCUGAGAAGUGGCCAGCAGGUCUGGUAAAGGACACGUGCAUGGGCGGUCACCGGGGAAGGCCUCCUGGGAGUGGGAUGGGUCUUGGUUCUCAGAGCAUCCCAGAGCAUGGCCCUGCACUCCAACACGGACGUGGACAGGCUUCCGGAACAAUAUCAGUCUUGAGAGGCACGCUGGUAGCAUGUAUAAGACAGGACGCAAAUCCCUCCCCGAUGCACAGCUUAACUCCUCAAACGUGAAGAAUGACUAGGGUAAACGGAGGUCAUUCCGUUCUCCUUUCUAAAUGAAAACAUUAAGGUCUGUUUAAACUGGGGCACGAAUCACAGUGACCUUUGGGGUAAAUAGUGCCGGAAGCACAAGGCCACAGAGGGGACACUGACUGCGCCACUCCGCAGAGGUGUGAGGGUCCAGCACAGAAAGGCCAGCGCACUCCUCCGUCAGCAGGAAGGGUCACGGUAUGGAGCUUCCUCAGCUCCUUGGAGCCGUGGCGCUCUGUCUUCAGUGUCAGCCCGGCCAGCGCUCAUCUGUCCCCUGAAGGCAUUGGGUAGAUGCGGGGUCAACAGUGCAUUCGGCUGUCCUGGACUAGAGCGCGCUACCCUGGAUGGUGGGCGUGGCCUUCAUCCCAUCCGCUCCGUGCCUGAAGGGCCAACGCCAAGGGCUCCCUCCAGGAGAAGACAACAUUCUGUCUCCAGACGGCUGGCCUGCCCUGCAGAUUUCAGACCGUCACACCCCAUGAUGCUGUGAGCCACUUCCCUGAAAUGUAGCACCUCGCAGUUCUGUUUCUCUAGAGAACUCUGGCUAAGACAGUAACUAACAGUUUGGUAUGUCACCCUCGCCUCUGGGCCCCCAGAAUCUGUCACCUUUGCUGCUGGGGAAGUUCACAGUGCCUGAGCAGGAGCCCCAGUGGUCUGGGGUUUUUUGUUUUUUUAAAGAUUUUAUUUAUUUAUCUGAGAGAGAGAGAGAGAGAGAGAGCACACGAGCAGGGGGGAGGGGCAGAGGGAGAAGCAGGCUCCCCCCUGAGCAGGGAGCCUGAUGCGGGGCUCGAUCCCAGGACUCUGGGAUCAUGACCUGAGCCAAAGGCAGACGCUUAACGACUGAGCCACCUAGGCACCCCAGUCUGGGUUUUAUAAAGCUGAGCUCCUUUAGUCCAGACCACCUCAGCCACUCCAAGAGGCAGGAGCAAGACCCAGACCUCGCCCGCAACCUUAAGGAUCCUUCAGGUAAAAUCUGGAGAGAAGGUAUGUGAAAUUUGAAGCAAAUAGCCAACAUCUUAAAUGGGGGACAGAGAGGAGGGGAAAAAAAAAUCUUUCCCUGGUUCUAGCAAGGUUAAAAAAAAACAACCACCACAAAAGAGCCGAAGAAUAAACAAAUAGGAAGAACUUCAAAAAUAAUUAUUCUAAAUUAGAGCUUUAAUAUAGCAAAUAUUUCCCAAUUUACUCUUGUUUAUCUCCACAGACCCUAACAGACAUGAAUAGGUCACUGAAGAAUCCAUCUCAAAAUCUGAUAGGAAAACAGUGACCAGAAGUCACUUUGCACGUCGUAGUUUGCUGCCCAGAGAACAGCUCUUGAAUUCAAGCCAAACCAUAGAUUGUCCGUUUAGAAAAGUGACUGCUUGUUAGAACCAGGGCCCGGCUCAGGGAAGCGGUGUGUUUGCACUUGACGGGGUGCGAGGCUGGCUGUCCCCUGAGCUGGGGGACAGCACCCCGCCCCCCCCCCCGAGGGGUAGACGUGCUACAUUAACCCCACCAGCGCACAUCUACGGAGGAAAACGGGGACACUAGCGUCCUGGGCAGUUCACGCUGGAAAGGAACAGGAAAGAAAGGGAAGGGGAGAUCAGCUUCCUGCUGUCGCAAAAUAAGCUUUUCUCAUGGCAAGGCUGUACUCAAAUUUUUGGGGGAAAAAAGUAUAAGACAGAAAUAACUUACUGUGUAGGCAAUUAAUUCUGGUUGGCAUAGCGAUCCUCUUAAGUUAAAGGGAAUGAGCACGAGAUGACGAGAAGAGGUCAGAGGUCAAAAGAAAAGUAUGCAGGAGCAAAACAAGAAUGACAGACAGUGAGUCCCGAAGCAUUGCGCCCGCGCGCACGUGACGUUACUGGGCAGGACAUCUGGCAAGGUUUGGGGUGGCUUGGGGUUUUUUUUUUUUUUUUUUUUUUUUUUACUUUUUAGUAUUUUUCAAAGUCUCCAUCAAUACUUUUGUUCUUAUGGUAAAGUCCACAGAACACGGACUCUACCGUCUUAACCAUCUCUAAACACACAGUCAUGUUACGGACAUUCCCGUUGCUAUGAAACAACAUGGACGCUUGGUUAAGCUAAAAAUCAACCCGAAUUGGGGGGACUAGCUUCCCUGUAUUGGCUGCAGCGUCACGAUAAUGUGCAUUUCCAAUCAGCGAAACUGCAAGAGAGUUCUAAAUACGCCUGCGGUCUUGGGGACGUAUGUGAACCCCUGCUGUGACUGGACACACAGGUGGUUCUCCAGCCAGAAAAUGAGCUUCAGUUUAAAAUGGAGAGAACGUUCCAUACAGCCGCUCCCUUGAUCCCCGGGUAGAAAGCUGAAAAUCCCCAGCGCACAAAAACGCUGUGGCACCUGUAACACGUAAUCGUCUAAGGUUCUGACAACAUCUAGAGACGCGGUGUCCAAAUCUCUACGAAAACACAGGAAUAGAAGCAAGUUUGGAAGCACUGCCAAAUACAUCCCUUUACAAAUCUGACUCCACGGGCGCCACGUCCAGCGAGGUCCCCGUGCCCAGGCUCCAGGGAAGCGCCAAGCACACCUGUCAGCACCUAGGUCCCCAAGAGUGCCCUUCCGGAGGGCUGCCAUCCCCCUGGCCAGUGCCGGGAAAGGAGAAGCAUGGCCGUGGCACAGCCAGGAUGGAAACCCAUGGGAAAGAACUCUCCAGAAGGAAAGGCAAAGGGAAGGAGGAAGCAAGGGAUGAGGGGACGGUGGUCUCUGGAUGGACUCGGGGUCAGCGAGGUGCAGCCUCUCAGAGUGAACGCAGGAAGGCGGGUUGGGGGGUUGGGGUUCACGAGAAGAGGCAGCGGACUGUUGGCCAUCGGGAGAAGGAAGGGGAGGAAGGGGCGCCCCACCCUGCACCUCCUCUCCUGCUCUGCACAGCACACACGGCCUUCUUCGGGGCCAGGGGAGCUCCCCCAGGCGGUGCUGACCCCCUGGACCAGGCCAGAGGGGCUAGGCUGUCCUGCACGCUGCGGGCUUGAUGCUGCGCCCUGGCUUCUACUGCCUGGACUAAAGCUAAAGUCUCAGCUGUGGCCGCUGAGACUGUCUCAGGACGCUGCCUGGGUCCCCUGGGGGGGGGGGCACAGUCACCCAGUUGAGAACCACUGGUCCGCGGCGGCAAGAACAGAGGAGCGGAGCGAGGUAGCAGCAGAACAGCUACCGAGGUUCCCGGCCUCAGGAGCGACUGCGAUUUCCUGCGUCUGCAUUCUCGGGGGACCGGGGGGGCGAGGACUUAGUGCCGAGCCGCACCCACGACUCCCAGCUGCGCUCAGGCGCCUGCAUCCUGUCUCCUGUCCUGUCUCUGCACCGGGAUCUCCUUAUUCCUGCCUGGGAGGGGGGCGCAUCCUCACACACGGAGGAGGAGCGGAGGCUCGGGAGGCUUGACCGCCCAUCUAAGGGGGACCUCAAGCCCCUAGACUACAGUCCCUCAGAAAGGCUCUUUAGGUUACCAUCAGGCCAGAGCACUAAAUUAACCGCACACGCUGACAAAAUCUGCAAAUGCAAAGCAUCGAUUUAGUGCUGAUGGAAAACAACGGAUUAUUCUAACAACGUCACUGCUCAUCACUACACACACGUUAAGGAGUUUGCUUCCUGCGAGCAGAAAGUAAUCGGCAUACACACUGUAGCCUAAGAAUUCUGGGUGCCACCUCUCUGUGUCGAAGACAAGCACAGGUUAGCUGCCCUAACCCUUGGGGCCCGUGGGCUGGAGGGUGGGAAGGUGACUGCAAGGGGCCGGGGGCUCCCCGGGGCCGCCCCGCUGUUCACAGGGGAGCCCGCUUCCUGACAACUGCACUUGGCUGGCCAAGUGCCCACUCACUCAGGAUGGGGCCAUCUGAGCCUCCGUGAAACAUAGUAACCGCAGUGGUUUGGACACAUUAAAUGUAAGGUUUACGUGGGUUCCUAGUGAUUCCAAGAUACAGCCUUCGAGAAAGCAGAGGACGUGGUCCCAGACUCCUCGUGCCGCCGCCCCCUGCUGGCCGCCUCCGGAAGUGCACUCAGGGAGGCCCGGGGCACCAUGUGCCAGUCCUGCCAGCUGGUACUUGGCACUGGCCGCCGAGGCCCUGAGUAUAAUGGCAACACUGAUGACUGACCUCCGCACCUCCCCUGGCCCACGUCGGCAUGAGCUACAGACUGCCGCAUUCCCCUGGCCCACCUCCGGGUGCCAGCCCACCCUCCGCGUUCACCACGUCUUCUUGCUCCUCAUCCCUCACAACUAAAGCCCCUUCCUUGCUGGCGUUCCCCUUGUUCAUUCUGGGAUGUUCCACAUGCAUACAUGACCCUCGCGCGGCCCCUGGCCCCGAGGGGCUGCCCUCUCUGCUAGCCUUUGCCUGCAAACAACUUAAAUGGUUUGGAGACAUGUCGACCCGCGAGAGGGUAGCGGCUCUGUCCCCAACGGGGGCCUUAGUCAGGCCAGUCUUUCUCUUUCAAUAGCUUUUCUUCACAUGGGUCACCAACCCCUCAACAACCAGAGCAUCCUGGGCCAGAAGCCUGCAAGCUUCCUCACGAACGGGGUGAGCUUCAUAAACACAGGGCCGUGAGUGAGCCUCGUGCUGGGUGAGGAACGGGACCUGCCCUUUGCAAGGAGCUUUCUGGACAUCAUCAGGAGCUCGGGCUACCUUCCACCAGGAGGAAGCCAGGCCACCAACAGAUACGACCCCCGGGGCGCAUGGCCACACC